GAUGAAGAACGUAGCGAAAUGCGAUAAUUAAUGUGAAUUGCAGAAUUCCGUGAAUCAUCGAGUCUUUGAACGCACAUUGCGCCUCAUGGCAUUCCGUGAGGCAUGCCCAUCUCAGCGUUAGAAAAUAUUCUCAAAUUUUAGUUUUGUGCUAAAAUUUGGAUCAUGUCAAGGAAGCUAUUACUAUUAUUGUGAUCGCUCUUUGGGAAUUGAUAGGUCUUUGAGUUGCUACUCAUAGAACGUGAUGAAUCUUUCUUCGUUCUAUUGUAAUUCACUCUGGUAGUCCUAAAACUUGUAUGCCUGUAGCAUAUCUUGUAAUUUGACCUGAGAUUGGGUAGGGAUACCCGCUGAACUUAAGCAUAUCAAUAAGCGGAGGA
rnacentral:misc_RNA from 1 species